AGCACGGAGCUUGCUCUGGUGGCGAGUGGCGAACGGGUGAGUAAUAUAUCGGAACGUACCCUAGAGUGGGGGAUAACGUAGCGAAAGUUACGCUAAUACCGCAUACGAUCUAAGGAUGAAAGUGGGGGAUCGCAAGACCUCAUGCUCGUGGAGCGGCCGAUAUCUGAUUAGCUAGUUGGUAGGGUAAAAGCCUACCAAGGCAUCGAUCAGUAGCUGGUCUGAGAGGACGACCAGCCACACUGGAACUGAGACACGGUCCAGACUCCUACGGGAGGCAGCAGUGGGGAAUUUUGGACAAUGGGCGAAAGCCUGAUCCAGCAAUGCCGCGUGAGUGAAGAAGGCCUUCGGGUUGUAAAGCUCUUUUGUCAGGGAAGAAACGGUGAGAGCUAAUAUCUUUUGCUAAUGACGGUACCUGAAGAAUAAGCACCGGCUAACUACGUGCCAGCAGCCGCGGUAAUACGUAGGGUGCAAGCGUUAAUCGGAAUUACUGGGCGUAAAGCGUGCGCAGGCGGUUUUGUAAGUCUGAUGUGAAAUCCCCGGGCUCAACCUGGGAAUUGCAUUGGAGACUGCAAGGCUAGAAUCUGGCAGAGGGGGGUAGAAUUCCACGUGUAGCAGUGAAAUGCGUAGAUAUGUGGAGGAACACCGAUGGCGAAGGCAGCCCCCUGGGUCAAGGUUGACGCUCAUGCACGAAAGCGUGGGGAGCAAACAGGAUUAGAUACCCUGGUAGUCCACGCCCUAAACGAUGUCUACUAGUUGUCGGGUCUUAAUUGACUUGGUAACGCAGCUAACGCGUGAAGUAGACCGCCUGGGGAGUACGGUCGCAAGAUUAAAACUCAAAGGAAUGACG
rnacentral:rRNA from 1 species